rnacentral:rRNA from 1 species
AGAGUUUGAUCCUGGCUCAGGAUGAACGCUGGCGGUAUGCUUAACACAUGCAAGUCAUACGAGAGUUUACUCUAGUGGCGAACGGGUGCGUAAUACGUGAGAAUCUGCCCUUAGGAGGAGAAUAACCAUUGGAAACGGUGGCUAAAUCUGCAUAUGCCGAGAGGUGAAAUAGUUUAGACUGCCUAAGGAUGAGCUCGCGCCUGAUUAGCUUGUUGGUGAGGUAACGGCUUACCAAGGCCACGAUCAGUAGCUGGUUUGAGAGAACGAUCAGCCACACUGGGACUGAGACACGGCCCAGACUCCUCCGGGAGGCAGCAGUGAGGAAUUUUCCGCAAUGGGCGAAAGCCUGACGGAGCAAUACCGCGUGAGGGAUGAAGGAUUUUGGUCUGUAAACCUCUUUUCUCAAGAAAGAAGUUCUGACGGUACUUGAGGAAUAAGCAUCGGCUAACUCCGUGCCAGCAGCCGCGGUAAUACGGGGGAUGCAAGCGUUAUCCGGAAUCAUUGGGCGUAAAGCGCCUGUAGGUUGUUUAGUAAGUCUGUUGUUAAAGACUAAGGCUUAACCUUAGGAAAGCGAUGGAAACUACUAGACUUGAGUAUGGCAGGGGUAGAGGGAAUUUCUAGUGUAGCGGUGAAAUGCGUAGAUAUUAGAAAGAACACCGGCGGCGAAAGCGCUCUACUGGACCAUUACUGACACUCAGAGGCGAAAGCUAGGGGAGCAAAAGGGAUUAGAUACCCCUGUAGUCCUAGCCGUAAACGAUGGAUACUAGAUGUUGCGCAAUUUGUGCAGUAUCUUAGCUAACGCGUUAAGUAUCCCGCCUGGGGAGUACGCUCGCAAGGGUGAAACUCAAAGGAAUUGACGGGGGCCCGCACAAGCGGUGGAGCAUGUGGUUUAAUUCGAUGCAACGCGAAGAACCUUACCAGGGCUUGACAUACUACAAAUCUUUUCGAAACGAAAGAGUGCCUUCGGGAAUGUAGAUACAGGUGGUGCAUGGCUGUCGUCAGCUCGUGUCGUGAGAUGUUGGGUUAAGUCCCGCAACGAGCGCAACCCUCAUUUUUAGUUGCCA